CUACGGGGCGCUCCAGUGGGGAAUAUUGCACAAUGGAGGAAACUCUGAUGCAGCAACGCCGCGUGGAGGAUGACACUUUUCGGAGCGUAAACUCCUUUUAUAUAGGAAGAAGAUGACGGUACUAUAUGAAUAAGCGCCGGCUAACUCCGUGCCAGCAGCCGCGGUAAUACGGAGGGCGCAAGCGUUACUCGGAAUCACUGGGCGUAAAGAGCGUGUAGGCGGAUUAAAAAGUCAGAAGUGAAAUCCUAUAGCUUAACUAUAGAACUGCUUCUGAAACUCUUAAUCUAGAAUAUGGGAGAGGUAGAUGGAAUUUCUGGUGUAGGGGUAGAAUCCGUAGAGAUCAGAAGGAAUACCGAUUGCGAAGGCGAUCUACUAGAACAUUAUUGACGCUGAGACGCGAAAGCGUGGGGAGCAAACAGGAUUGAUACCCCGGUAGUC
rnacentral:rRNA from 1 species